rnacentral:rRNA from 1 species
UGGGGAAUAUUGGACAAUGGGGGAAACCCUGAUCCAGCAAUGCCGCGUGAGUGAAGAAGGCCUUAGGGUUGUAAAGCUCUUUCGCCCGCGAAGAUAAUGACGGUAGCGGGAGAAGAAGCCCCGGCUAACUCCGUGCCAGCAGCCGCGGUAAGACGUAGGGUGCAAGCGUUGUCCGGAUUUACUGGGCGUAAAGCGCGCGUAGGCGGUCUGUUAAGUGAGAAGUGAAAUCUCCAGGGCUCAACCCGGAAACUGCUUUUCAUACUGGCAGACUUGAGGAAUGCAGAGGCAACUAGAAUUCCUGGUGUAGCGGUGACAUGCAUUGAUAUCAGGAGGAAUACCCAUGGCGAAGGCAAGUUGCUGGGCAUUAUCUGACGCUGAGGCGCGAAAGCGUGGGUAGCAAACA